AAGCAGCUUUGUUUCACUUCAAACCAACAAUAAGCUUACUUGAGCCGGAUUACGUCGGAUUACAAUAGAAGAUGUUGAAUUCAAACGGUGCAUCUUGUGUACAUAAAUGAAAGUUCCUGAGUGAAUGGUUACUAGUACAAGUCCAAGACUAAAACUUGAAUAAAGACUGGAAAUAGUCCGGAAAAGGUCCAUAUUUUAAAACAGGCUACGGAAUUCAAGGAUUCAUUUCUCAACAGAAGCAUCCAUACGGAGGAACACAAUGCAUCCUCCAGCACGUGAAAUACGCGAUAUCAUUUUAAUCGGAGGUGCAACAUUGUUGCGCGUUAUUUUUUCCCCUUAAAGAUGCUUUUAUGCGCGGUUUUCGAUAACAGUCCUCCAAGUGGGAAGCAAUACCCUAACGUGAUGUUUAGUCCAGUCGGUGCGGUGCGGUGUCAUCGUGAAUUUCUGAGGAAACGAGAAAAGACACUCCAGCAAAUUGUUCGUCGAAUUGAUUCCGAUAACCCACAUUAAUCAAUUACGGUACACCGGGGUAAGUGCAAACUCGGUUCAAGUGCAAACGCUCAACUUU